UACAGAGGUCCCGAGCGUUGUUCGGAUUCACUGGGCGUAAAGGGUGCGCAGGUGGCAUGGCAAGUUUGAUGUGAAAUCUCCGGGCUCAACCCGGAAAAGGCAUUGAAUACUGUUGUGCUGGAGGUUUGGAGGGGGGACUGGAAUUCUCGGUGUAGCAGUGAAAUGCGUAGAUAUCGAGAGGAACACCUGCGGCGAAGGCGGGUUGCUGGGCUGACACUGACGCUGAGGCGCGAAAGCCAGGGGAGCGAACGGG
rnacentral:rRNA from 1 species